ACUCAACGUUGCCCGCAACCUCUGUGGGUCACGUAGGUUUUGUGUCAUUUGCAACAACGCAGUCUAAUCGAUUUGCUAACGGUAGCUAGCCUACCUGUUUCUUCCUUAGCAAAAAUCAUGGCGUGACAAAACCCAGCAAAAAGUUGUUUCCGAAAAUUGCAAAUUUCAGACAGAAUGGACUGGCAAGUACGCAUUUGUGUUGCCGUUGGGGAGCAAAAAAACGAUGUGUUUAAUCUGCAAUGAGACGGUUGCCCUUGUCAAAAGUCGUAGAGCUAACGUGAAAUGUCACUAUGACACAAAGCAUAGAUACUUUGAACAAAAUUACACCCAGAAGUCUGGUCUAUGGGAGAAAGAUGUCCAGGGGGUGCCCUCCUAAACCUACACCUAUUUUGAAUGGGAGUCAAUGGGAGAGGUAAGGGCCAGAAAAAUAAACCAUGGUCCGUUCCGGACCUAGGAAUGAAUGGGAAUUUGGAUCUGAAACUACUACUGAUAGCACACAGAACCAGGCAAGACAUUACAAACUUCUUCAGGAGCUGUACAAAUCCAAGCUCAAACCCAAUAAGAAGGAUGUUGCCCAGCUGUUGGACCUUGAGUACCAAGCAAGAUGGAAAUUCAUCGACUCUGAUGCUCUUAGGGAGCGGGACAGGCCUACCAAGAUUCUUCAAGCAUAUCCCUGCUUCAGAGAACUGGAUCAUUAAAGCAAUCUGUUGCCGUGAUUAAGGCUUUGCCAGACUUGUUCCCAUCAUCUGUGGCUCACAAGAAAUUAGGACAUGCAAGUGCGGCUAUGCUUCACAUCCUUAAGUCUGCAGAAGACCCCAACACCUUUCUUCAGGCAAGACCACUCUCCAGCCCUGUUGUGAUUGUCUGUGAAACCAACUGCAUACUGGCCAUUGGAACCAUGCCUGUGCUGACCUUCCCAAAGGAAGACCUCUCUGUCAGUGUGAUGUACAUCCUUGCAUGUUACUACACCUUUCACCUUACAUAUUCCUCUCUGUGCUGCAGACAGAAGUCCUCUUGGACUCCAUCCAUGACCGAGAUAUGACUUUGUCAUAUAAAAAAGCAAUGGCUGAGUGGAAGACGUUCAUUGCUGAAUAGGCUUGAACAUUAGUAAUAACGUAGAUGCCUGACCCCAAUACAAUGUUUUGGAGGAGCUGUUGUUGUUUUUU